rnacentral:lncRNA from 1 species
AGUAUGAAGAGAGAUAGAGAUCGAUCGUGGGACGAGGGAGAAAGGAACAGAGAGAGCCAUACAAUUGAAAAGGUAAUAGCUAGACCAAUUUGUUCGAGAAAAGAGGAUGGGUGGACUAACUCAUUGGAUCUAGAAGAGAAACUACUAUUGGAAUUAUCAAGGGAGAGAGAGAGAGUUUCUCCUUUUCUUUUCGAGAGUGAGAGAGACAAAUAUUUUGAGAUAAAAUGAAAGUGAAUAAUCCGUAGGAGAGAGAAUAACAAGAAAAAUCAAGAAGAAUUUUUGGAGGGAGAUGGAUCAACAGAUUUAAUUCUAUAAAUAAUAAGAAGAGAUAGGAUAUUAUAUAAAUGCAGCUAGUACUUUGAUCUGAAAUU